GAUGAACGCUGGCGGCGUGCCUAAUACAUGCAAGUCGAGCGAACAGACGAGGAGCUUGCUCCUCUGACGUUAGCGGCGGACGGGUGAGUAACACGUGGAUAACCUACCUAUAAGACUGGGAUAACUUCGGGAAACCGGAGCUAAUACCGGAUAAUAUAUUGAACCGCAGGGUUCAAUAGUGAAAGACGGUUUUGCUGUCUCUAAUAGAUGGUUCCGCGCCGCAUUAGCUAGUUGGUAAGGUAACGGCUUACCAAGGCGACGAUGCGUAGCCGACCUGAGAGGGUGAUCGGCCACACUGGAACUGAGACACGGUCCAGACUCCUACGGGAGGCAGCAGUAGGGAAUCUUCCGCAAUGGGCGAAAGCCUGACGGAGCAACGCCGCGUGAGUGAUGAAGGUCUUCGGAUCGUAAAACUCCGUUAUUAGGGAAGAACAAAUGUGUAAGUAACUAUGCACGUCUUGACGGUACCUAAUCAGAAAGCCACGGCUAACUACGUG
rnacentral:rRNA from 1 species